CUUGGUCAUUUAGAGGAAGUAAAAGUCGUAACAAGGUUUCCGUAGGUGAACCUGCGGAAGGAUCAUUCAUAAUAAGUGUUUUAUGGCACUUUUUUAAAUCCAUAUCCACCUUGUGUGCAAUGUCAGGGUUGGUCUCUUGAAAAAGAGAUCAGCCCCAAACAUCAACCCAAUCUUAACUCUUUGUCUGAAAAAUAUUAUGAAUAAAACAAUUCAAAAUACAACUUUCAACAACGGAUCUCUUGGCUCUCGCAUCGAUGAAGAACGCAGCGAAAUGCGAUACGUAAUGUGAAUUGCAGAAUUCAGUGAAUCAUCGAAUCUUUGAACGCAUAUUGCGCUCUUUGGUAUUCCGAAGAGCAUGCUUGUUUGAGUAUCAGUAAACACCUCAAAGCCUUUUUUUGUUAAGAGGCCUUGGACUUGAGCAAUCCCAACACUUUUCCUCCAAGAAAAGUGGCGGGUUGCUUGAAAUGCAGGUGCAGCUGGACAUUCUCCUGAGCUAAAAGCAUAUUCAUUUAGUCCCGUCAAACGGAUUAUUACUUUUGCUGCAGCUAACAUAAAGGGAGUUUGACCAUUUUGGCUGACUGAUGCAGGAUUUUCACAAGAGUCUUCAAAAGCUUUUGUUAAACUCGAUCUCAAAUCAAGUAAGACUACCCGCUGAGCUUAAGCAUAUCAAUAAGCGGAGGA
rnacentral:rRNA from 1 species